GUGGCCGCCGUACACCUGCG
rnacentral:misc_RNA from 1 species